AACCCCUGUGAACAUACCUAUAAUUUGCCUCGGCAGACUCAACGACGGUGCUCCGAGAAAUCGGGCGCCGCUCGCUGCCAGAGGAACCCCAAACUCUAUGUAUUCUUGUGGAUCUUCUGAGUAAAACAAAACAAAUAAAUCAAAACUUUCAACAACGGAUCUCUUGGUUCUGGCAUCGAUGAAGAACGCAGCGAAAUGCGAUAAGUAAUGUGAAUUGCAGAAUUCAGUGAAUCAUCGAAUCUUUGAACGCACAUUGCGCCCGCCAGUAUUCUGGCGGGCAUGCCUGUUCGAGCGUCAUUUCAACCCUCAAGCCCUAGGGCUUGGUGUUGGGGAUCGGCGAUAGUCGCCGUCCCCCAAAUCUAGUGGCGGUCUCGCUGUAGCCUCCAUUGCGUAGUAGCUAACACCUCGCAACUGGAACGCGGCGUGGCCAAGCCGUUAAACCCCCAACUUCUGAAUGUUGACCUCGGAUCAGGUAGGAAUACCCGCUGAACUUAAGCAUAUCAAAAGGCGGGAGGAA
rnacentral:rRNA from 1 species